AUCAGACAUCAAAAUUUACUGAUUUGAUUGAGCAAAUUAUAAUCUAAAGAUCUGUUAGCUUUGAAAUCUCUCAGUAAAAUGUGAAAGGGCAGAGUAAAUAACUAAAGAGUCUGGAGA